rnacentral:rRNA from 1 species
UUGGAUUGAGACAACGUACAAACCUUAUCGAUAAACAAUUGGAGGGCAAGUCUGGUGCCAGCAGCCGCGGUAAUUCCAGCUCCAAUAGCGUAUAUUAACGUUGUUGCAGUUAAAAAGCUCGUAGUUGAAAUGAAGGGUAGUUGUGUAAUGAAUACAUUCGUGUAUUUUGUUAUUCUACUACCCUCCUUCUAAAUUCGAUAUAUGAGUAUUAAUUUACUUGUAUAUGGUUUUAGACUUUUACUGUGAGAAAAUUAGAGUGUUCAAAGCAGGCAUUUGCUUGAAUAUAUUAGCAUGGAAUAAUCAUGUAUGAUUUUCAUGAUGUAUUUGAUUGGUUUGGUUCAUGAGAAUAAGAUUAAAAGGGACAGUUGGGGGUAUUCAUAUUCAAUAGUCAGAGGUGAAAUUCUCGGAUUUAUGGAAGAUGAACAAGUGCGAAAGCAUUUACCAAGGAUGUUUUCAUUAAUCAAGAACGAAAGUUAGGGGAUCGAAGAGGAU